AGUGAACGCUGGCGGUAGGCCUAACACAUGCAAGUCGAACGGUAGCACAGUAAGAGCUUGCUCUUACGGGUGGCGAGUGGCGGACGGGUGAGGAAUACAUCGGAAUCUACUUUUUCGUGGGGGAUAACGUAGGGAAACUUACGCUAAUACUGCAUACGACCUACGGGUGAAAGCAGGGGAUCUUCGGACCUUGCGCGAUUGAAUGAGCCGAUGUCGGAUUAGCUAGUUGGCGGGGUAAAGGCCCACCAAGGCGACGAUCCGUAGCUGGUCUGAGAGGAUGAUCAGCCACACUGGAACUGAGACACGGUCCAGACUCCUACGGGAGGCAGCAGUGGGGAAUAUUGGACAAUGGGCGCAAGCCUGAUCCAGCCAUACCGCGUGGGUGAAGAAGGCCUUCGGGUUGUAAAGCCCUUUUGUUGGGAAAGAAAAGCAGCAGGUUAAUACCCCGCUGUUCUGACGGUACCCAAAGAAUAAGCACCGGCUAACUUCGUG
rnacentral:rRNA from 1 species